rnacentral:tRNA from 1 species
GCUUUUAUGGUGUAUAAAACACAUUAGAUUUUCGAUCUAAAGUUAGAGGCAUAUCUCUUAAAGGUU